rnacentral:sRNA from 12 species
AGGGCUAGUCGAAAGACUCUGGUCCACCGGCUGACGGGGAUUUACCCC